GUGGGGAAUAUUGGACAAUGGGGGGAACCCUGAUCCAGCCAUGCCGCGUGUGUGAAGAAGGCCUUUUGGUUGUAAAGCACUUUAAGCGAGGAGGAGGCUACCGAGAUUAAUACUCUUGGAUAGUGGACGUUACUCGCAGAAUAAGCACCGGCUAACUCUGUGCCAGCAGCCGCGGUAAUACAGAGGGUGCAAGCGUUAAUCGGAUUUACUGGGCGUAAAGCGCGCGUAGGUGGCCAAUUAAGUCAAAUGUGAAAUCCCCGAGCUUAACUUGGGAGUUGCAUUCGAUACUGGUUGGCUAGAGUAUGGGAGAGGAUGGUAGAAUUCCAGGUGUAGCGGUGAAAUGCGUAGAGAUCUGGAGGAAUACCGAUGGCGAAGGCAGCCAUCUGGCCUAAUACUGACACUGAGGUGCGAAAGCAUGGGGAGCAAACAGGAUUAGAAACCCUUGUAGUCC
rnacentral:rRNA from 1 species